UACGUAGGGUGCAAGCGUUGUCCGGAAUUAUUGGGCGUAAAGAGCUCGUAGGCGGUCUGUCGCGUCGGAUGUGAAAAUCAAGGGCUCAACCCUGGACCUGCAUUCGAUACGGGCAGACUAGAGUUCGGCAGGGGAGACUGGAAUUCCUGGUGCGCGGUGAAAUGCGCAGAUAUCAGGAGGAACACCGGUGGCGAAGGCGGCAUCCUGGACCAAUUCUGACGCUGAGGAGCGAAAGCUAGGGGAGCAAACGGG
rnacentral:rRNA from 1 species